AUCUUUUUAAUCCAGCACAAUGUGAACAAAAUAUGUAAUAAAUUUGGAAUAGUCUAUAGAGAUACAGUCGAUCACAACAGAAAAACAGGAAAUUAACGUAAGGAAUGUGCAUUUUUUUUUAAUACUUAGAGUAACUUGAAAAAUGAUACUGGUACCGUCCAAAUGUAACACCCCUCUACACAAUGGGGUCAAAUGCAGAUUUGUCCCCAUCUAGUCAAGAAGAUAUCGAAAUUAACCAAAAACAAAAAGAAGACGAUGCUGCAGAUUUAGAAGUACCAGUUCCCAAAACGAAAGAAGAAAACAAGUUCCCGAAAAGAAAGAAAAAUACAAACUACACUUACAAAGAUGUGAUGAAAUUGUUAGCCACAAUUACGGAUGACCAUCAUGAAUGAAUGGAUGUAAAAGAAACAGCACGAUGACAAGAUGAAACAAGAGGGGAAUGAAAUUGAAUUAUUUGCAAAUACAAAC
rnacentral:lncRNA from 1 species